UUCCUGGUGGUCCAGUGGUUAAGACUCCACACUUCCAAUGCAGAGGACAUGGGUUCAAUCCGUGGCCAGGAAA
rfam:TPA: Bos taurus chromosome 11, whole genome shotgun sequence.